GACGAACGCUGGCGGCGUGCUUAACACACACAAGUCGAACGGAAAGGCCCUGCUUUUGUGGGGUGCUCGAGUGGCGAACGGGUGAGUAACACGUGAGUAACCUGCCCUUGACUUUGGGAUAACUUCAGGAAACUGGGGCUAAUACCGGAUAGGAGCUCCUGCUGCAUGGUGGGGGUUGGAAAGUUUCGGCGGUUGGGGAUGGACUCGCGGCUUAUCAGCUUGUUGGUGGGGUAGUGGCUUACCAAGGCUUUGACGGGUAGCCGGCCUGAGAGGGUGACCGGCCACAUUGGGACUGAGAUACGGCCCAGACUCCUACGGGAGGCAGCAGUGGGGAAUAUUGCACAAUGGGCGGAAGCCUGAUGCAGCAACGCCGCGUGCGGGAUGACGGCCUUCGGGUUGUAAACCGCUUUCGCCUGUGACGAAGCGUGAGUGACGGUAAUGGGUAAAGAAGCACCGGCUAACUACGUG
rnacentral:rRNA from 1 species